rnacentral:rRNA from 1 species
UACGGAGGGUGCGAGCGUUGUCCGGAAUCAUUGGGCGUAAAGGGCGCGUAGGUGGCCACUAUAAGGCCGCGGUGAAAGUUCGGGGCUCGAACCCUGAAUCUGCCGCGGCGACUGUAGGGCUAGGGCACCGUAGAGGCAGAUGGAAUUCCGGGUGUAGCGGUGGAAUGCGUAGAGAUCCGGAAGAACACCGGUGGCGAAGGCGGUCUGCUGGGCGGUGAACUCGCAAGAGUUCAAUAGCCGACACUGAGGCGCGACAGCGUGGGGAGCAAACAGG